UACAGAGGUCUCAAGCGUUGUUCGGAUUCAUUGGGCGUAAAGGGUGCGUAGGUGGCGCCAUAAGUCAGGUGUGAAAUCUCGGGGCUUAACUCCGAAACUGCAUUUGAUACUGCUGGGCUAGAGUCCGGAAGAGGCGAGUGGAAUUCCUGGUGUAGCGGUGAAAUGCGCAGAUAUCAGGAAGAACACCCGUGGCGAAGGCGGUUCUCUGGGACGGUACUGACGCUGAGGAGCGAAAGCGUGGGGAGCGAACAGG
rnacentral:rRNA from 1 species